rnacentral:rRNA from 1 species
AACGAACGCUGGCGGCGUGCUUAACACAUGCAAGUCGAACGAGAAAGUUUCCUUCGGGAAGCGAGUAGAGUGGCGCACGGGUGAGUAACGCGUAGGUAAUCUACCCUUAUAUUUGGGAUAACAUUGGGAAACUGGUGCUAAUACCGGAUACCCUUCAUUUCUGCCGGGUUAUGGAGGAAAGGUGGCCUCUUCAUGAAAGCUACCGUAUAGGGAUGAGCCUGCGUACCAUUAGCUAGUAGGUGGGGUAAUGGCCCACCUAGGCAACGAUGGUUAGCGGGUCUGAGAGGAUGAUCCGCCACACUGGAACUGGAACACGGACCAGACUCCUACGGGAGGCAGCAGUGAGGAAUAUUGCGCAAUGGGGGAAACCCUGACGCAGCGACGCCGCGUGAGUGAGGAAGGUUUUCGGAUCGUAAAGCUCUGUCAGAAGGGAAGAAGUGUUAUAUGGUUAAUACCCGUAUAAUUUGACGGUACCUUCAGAGGAAGCACCGGCUAACUCCGUG